UUCUCAUCUACUGCUCUGGAGGGGAGGAGGGAAGACUUCCUUAUGGGUAAGUUAAGGAAGAGGGAAGUAGGCAUACUCAGCUCACUUCACCCUUUUUCUUUUCCAGGUAGCCUGCCUACAGAGAACAAGGGUUCGUUUUAUUUCCUGCCUGCUCCCAGAGAGGAGGUUAUGGUGUUCCAGAAUGUUCUGUGUCUGGAUGAGGAUGCCUGCCUUAAUUCUGGCUCAGUAUUGACCCCAGAAAAUAUGUUUUACUAACAUUUGCAAGUUUUGCCACACCAGAGGCCAAGAGAAGCCACAGUUUUGACUCCUUUGGCAAAAAACUCCCACCGAGACCCAGGGACCUACUUCAGCUCUCUGGAGGGCUCUCUUCCCCUGAAUUGAAUGUAUUGGCCUCCUGUAUACAACAGCUUGAAAACAUUACAGAUGCACCCAGCCAGGAAGGCGUCCCAAAGACAUGUUCCAGCUUUGGAUGACAGUGACAAAGGAUCCUGAGUGCACCAUGGAGACAACCACCUGCAAAACCUUCCUUCUUAAGUGGGGGUCAAAGUUCAGGCCCUCCUGCAUUAGAAUAGUGGGUCAGAUUUCAAAAUCUGGCAAUUUCACAAAGUUCAGGCACAAAAAAUUCGGGAUGUAUAUUAGCUGUCCAUUGUGAUGUUGUACUGUGAACUCCUUACAAAGGCCUAACUCUAUCUACUUGCAGAGUGGCAGUUUUAUCUAUUGAAGUGGUCCUUAACAGGGGUGAUUGUGUCCUCUUGGGGACAUUUGGCAAUGGCCACAGAUAUUUUUGGUUAUCACAUUUGGGGGUAAAGGUGCUAUUGGCAUUUAAUGGAUAGAGGUCAGGGAUGCUGCCCAACACUGUACAAGGGCAGGACAGCCUCCUACAACAAUGAAUUAUCUGGCUUAAAAUGUCCUCACUGAGGGAUCCCUGGGUGGCUCAGUGGUUUGGCUCCUGCCUUCAGCCCAGAGUAUGAUCCUAGAGACCCAGGAUCAAGUCUCACAUCGGGCUCCCUGCAUGGAGCCUGCUUCUCCCUCUGCCUAUGUCUCUGCCUCUCUCUCUCUCUCUCUCUCUCUCUCUCUGUCUCUCAUGAAUAAAUACAUAAAAUCUUUUAAAAAAAUAAAAAAAAUUGUCCUCACUGAGAGUGUUGAGAAACUCUAACAUAGAAUUAGCCAGACAGACAAGAAGUAGACAAGAUAACUUGAUGGAGUUCAUGCCAGUCAGAAGGCCUAUGGUGAAGUCCUUGUUCAAGAUGUAUCAAUGUGAAUAAGUUGUUGUUGUUUUUAAAUCUGUCUCCCUCAGUUUUCUCAUCUGUAAAAUAGGAGCAGCAAUGCAUGUGUCCCUAGCACAUAGAAAGUUCUCUAUAAAUGUUAUCAUUACAAUUAUUGAUCCAAACAGCCUUUUCCUGUUCUACUUUUAUUGUUUACUGGCAACAAAAAAAUGUAUCAUUUGAUCUCGUGUCAUGUAAGUUUUAGAUACCUUAUCUUAUCAUCUCAUACCAAUUCUUUGAGUUAGAUCUUAGAAAAGGAAAAUGAAGUAAAAAAAUACUAAACCACUUACCCAAAUUUACGGAAUUAAUACAUAACACAGUCAGGGUUUGAAUGUGUUUGCACAUUAAGGAGUGAUCUCUGAUUCAUUCUAUGGGAUAAGUAGACCCCAUAUUUCUUACGUUUCUUUCUACCAGAGACACUUGGACUAGUUUAUAUGUUUCUUUCACUGAUCUGUGGGAUGCUGUGUUCUGUGACAUGCACAUUCCUGUGCUCUGUGCAUCAUGUAUCCUGAAGGAUCACACCAUCCUGAGAGGUGGUGAAGGGCCUAGGCCUUCAUAUCCUGGCUAUUUAUCUUUUGAUCAGAGAUAUAAAUGACAAUGAUGUAAUUGGAUUUACAUAUUUGAAAGGGUGCUCUGGUAGCCUUGAAUGACUAAUUGUACUAAAGGAUAAGUAAGCCUGACUGAGAUAGUUAAAAUGAGAAGAGUGUCAAAGACAAGGGGUACCCAUGCCAGCAAAGGCUAUUAGGUAAGAGGGUGCCACCAAACCUUGUGGAAAUCAUAUGUGAUCUAGCAUGCUUUAGCCGCACAGCUGCCAUUUUAGUUCAUAUUGUAAACAACUGACCUAAGACCUGUGUCCCAUUUUCUUAAAAGACAAAUGCUAAAUCUCCUGCCCCACUGUUAAGAGGAGAAAGAAAACCUGCAAACUAGGAGAAACUCUUUGCAAAUCAUAUAUCUAAUAAAGGACCUAUAUACAAGAUAUUUUCAAAAGAAUUUUUAAAGAUUUUAUUUACCCAUUUUUGAGAGAGAGAGUGAGCACAAACAGGGGGAGGAAGAGAGACGAGUAGACUCUAUGCUAAGUGCAGAGCCCAACUUGGGGCUCAAUCCCCUGACCCCGAGAUCAUGACCUGAGCCAAUAUCAAUAGUCAGACACCGAACCAACUGAGCCACCCAGGCACUGCCUACAUCCAGGAUAUUUAAAAAACUUGUGAAAUUCUACAUUAAAACUAAACCCCCCAAAAUGAGCAGAAAAGUUGAAUGGAAACUUUGCCAGAUAUUCAACUGGAAAUAAGCACCUGUAAAGAUGUUCACCAACAUUAGUUAUUAGAUAAAUGCACAUUUAAAACAGAACACUGCACAUCUACUAGAAUAGAUAAAAUAAAAACACUGACCAUACUAAGUGCUAAUGAGAGUAUGAAAGAACUUGAACUCAUAUGCACUGUUUAUAGGGAUGUAAAAAAUGGUACAAUCACUAUGGAAAACAGUUUGACAGUUUCUUAAAAACUCGAUGUACACCUCCCAUGUGAUCCAGCUAUUCCGUUCCUAGGAAUUUUCCAAAAAGAAAUAAAAGCAUAUGUCCAUACAAAGGCACUUACAUGAAUAUACAUAAGUUUACUUGUAAUAACCUAAACCUGGACGCAAUCCAAACGUCCAUCAAGUGAAUGGGAAAACAAAUUAUGGUAUAUGAUACAAUGGAAUACUGCUCAACAGUAAAAAUGAAUGAAUAUUUACAUAUGCAACAUGGGUAGAUCUCAAAAUAAUUAUGCUAAAAAAGAAGCCAGACAGAGAAAGUUACACACUAUCUAAUUCUAUUUCUAUAACAUUCUAGGAAAUGUCAACUAAUCUGUAGUGACAAAAAGCAGAUCAGUGAUUCCUAGGGAGAAGAAAGAGGGAGGAAUUCUCUAAGGUCAUAAGGAAAUUUUGGGGGGUGAUGGAUAGAUUUCUGAUCUUGGUUGUGGUGAUAAGCUCAUGGGUGCAUGCAUUUGUCAAAGUGUAUCAAAUAGUACACUUGAAAUAUGUGUAGUUUAAUGUGUGCUACUUAUAUCUCAAUAAAGCAAUUAGAAAGAAAUCUGUUCUUGUCCACUAUUAAAUUAUAACUUUAUACACACACAUUUUUAUUUUUAUUUUUUAAUUUUAAUUUUAUUUUUUAUUAUUAUUUUUUAAAGAUUUUAUUUAUUCAUGAGAGACACACAGAGAGAGAGAGAGAGGUGGAGACAUAGGCAGAGGGAGAAGCAGGCUCCAUGCAGGGAGCCUGAUGUGGGACUCGAUCCUGGGACCCCAGGAUCAUGCCUUGAGCCAAAGGCAGGAGCUUAACCACUGAGUAACCCAGGCGUCCCAUACACACACGUUUUUAAUGUGCUAUGUAUCAACAUAUAGAUUACCUAUCUCUGACAUGUAAAAUGAGUCACUUUCUUCCUUUCAAUUUUUUAAAAGAUGAAACUUUUCUGAGUCAAAUUUUUCAUGAGACUUCAGUGUCUCUUGCAAUACUAUUGGCAAAGAUUGUUGAUGUGCAUUUGUUGGAUUUCACUUGACAUCUUGUUGAAAUCUGUUUAUAUCUCAGGACUAACACAAAAUUCAGGCAUUUUAUUAUUUACUUUAAUCAGAUACAAAAAGUCUGGAGAACAAAUCACGGCAUAGCUUCAUGAAGUAGAAACCAACAGCAUGAAACAUCCCUGUGCAGCCACGGGUCAGUGGCUAGGACCCUUACACCUCACAGUGUCUCAAUAGGGUCACAUAUUUGCUAAAGCAAAAGACUUAAUUCUUUACAAAAAAUAUUAUCUGUGUGAAUCAACUGAGAAUAUUUUCAACACAAUUAGAAUUAUAACAUCAAUAUCCAGUACAGACGAUUAAACUCUAGAUUUGCAAAACCUGAAAAUAUGAUCAAGAAAGAAAUACACCUAAGACUUUUCCAAUUUUAUUAAUACCAAC
rnacentral:lncRNA from 1 species